rnacentral:misc_RNA from 1 species
CAAUUCUCGAAGCCUAUUAUUCCUAUGCGCUGAACGCCUCGACCAAGCUCACCUUCGACUACCAGUUCAUCGCCAAUCCCGGCUACAACGCCGACCGCGGCCCGGCGAAUGUCUUCGCGGNNNNNNNNNNNUGGCAGUUCUGAAACAUGACCCGCGAGUGAUUGCGGGAUGAGGCAAGGAGCGUCCGAUGACCGCCACCAUCGUUCUCUUCGAAUUGGCGGGCUACGUCGG